rnacentral:rRNA from 1 species
GAUGAACGCUAGCUGCAGGCUUAACACAUGCAAGUCGAGGGACCGGCGCACGUGUGAGUAACACGUAUCCAACCUGCCCUUUACUCGGGGAUAGCCUUUCGACAGAAACAUUAAUACCCGAUAUAAAGGAUCUGGAUGCGUUCCAUUAGGUUGUUGGUGAGGUAACGGCCCACCAAGUCUUCGAUGGAUAGGGGUUCUGAGAGGAAGGACCCCCAGAUUGGAAAUGAGACACGAUCCAAACGCGUGCGAGAGGCAGCAGUGAGGAAUAUUUGGAAAUGGGCGUUAGCCUGAACCAGCCAAGUAGCGUGAAGGACGAAGGGUUAUGGGUCGUAAACUUCUGGUACAUAAGAAUAUGUAUUAGAUGAAAAAGGAUCGGCUAACUACGUGCCAGCAGCCGCGGUAAUAC